rnacentral:misc_RNA from 1 species
AGAGGAUCGAAAUCUUACCUUAACUAAUAACUUUUUAGUCCUUCAUACAUGAUCUUUCUCUUGAUCUUCAAUAAAAUGUGAGAUUAUUUUGAAGUGAAGUGAGUUAAAGUAAUGAAAACCAGAGAAAGGGAUUUUUUGAAAAAAAUGAGUGUCAAAGGCUUGGGAAAGUGGGUUUGAUCUGCUGCUGUCUCAAAAAGAAGAAGAAGCAUGUUUCAUUUGGCAAAGGCUGUAAUGGCCUUUACUUAAUGGAAAGCAAAUGGAGAACAGCCUCUACCAUUGCAUAAUGGUGGUAACAG